UACGUAGGCAGCAAGCGUUGUUCGGAAUUACUGGGCGUAAAGAGUGUGUAGGCGGUGCUCUAAGUUCGGUGUGAAAUCUCCCGGCUCAACUGGGAGGGUGCGCCGAAAACUGGGGUGCUGGAGCGCGGGAGAGGAAGGCGGAAUUCCUGGUGUAGCGGUGAAAUGCGUAGAUAUCAGGAGGAACACCGGCGGUGUAGACGGCUUUCUGGACCGUAGCUGACGCUGAGACACGAAAGCGUGGGUAGCAAACAGG
rnacentral:rRNA from 1 species